rnacentral:rRNA from 1 species
AGUGAACGCUGGCGGCAGGCCUAAUACAUGCAAGUCGAACGGCAGCACAGCAGAGCUUGCUCUGUGGGUGGCGAGUGGCGGACGGGUGAGGAAUACAUGGGAAUCUGCCCAGUCGUGGGGGAUAACGUAGGGAAACUUACGCUAAUACCGCAUGCGCCCUUCGGGGAAAGCCGGGGACCUUCGGGCCUGGCGCGAUUGGAUGAGCCCAUGUCGGAUUAGCUAGUUGGCGGGGUAAUGGCCCACCAAGGCGACGAUCCGUAGCUGGUCUGAGAGGAUGAUCAGCCACACUGGAACUGAGACACGGUCCAGACUCCUACGGGAGGCAGCAGUAGGGAAUAUUGGACAAUGGGCGCAAGCCUGAUCCAGCCAUGCCGCGUGAGUGAAGAAGGCCCUCGGGUUGUAAAGCUCUUUUGUCCGGAAAGAAAAGCGCCGGGUUAAUACCCUGGUGUCCUGACGGUACCGGAAGAAUAAGCACCGGCUAACUUCGUGCCAGCAGCCGCGGUAA